CACUUCCAUUACCCUAUAUAACUGCACGUCCAUUUCCCUGCAUAACUGCACGUCCAUUUCCCUGCAUAACUGCACGUCCAUUUCCCUGCAUAACUGCACGUCCAUUACCCUGCAUAACUGCACGUCCAUUACCCUGCAUAACUGCACGUCCAUUACCCUGCAUAACUGCACGUCCAUUACCCUGCAUAACUGCACGUCCAUUACCCUGCAUAACCGCACGUCCAUUACCCUGCAUAACCGCACGUCCAUUACCCUGCAUAACUGCACGUCCAUCACCCUGCAUAACUGCACGUCCAUCACCCUGCAUAACUGCACGUCCAUUACCCUGCAUAACUGCACGUCCAUUACCCUGUGUGACCGAGUACCUCGGCCUAUCGAUGCUCCUUGUGCUUGCCGAUGACUCCAAACACAUCACCAGACACCAUAAGCACUGCAGACCCCACUUCCAGCAAUGCAGCUGCGCCAGGGUCUCGCCGUCCU